rnacentral:rRNA from 1 species
AGUGAACGCUGGCGGUAGGCCUAACACAUGCAAGUCGAACGGCAGCACAGUAAGAGCUUGCUCUUACGGGUGGCGAGUGGCGGACGGGUGAGGAAUACAUCGGAAUCUACUUUUUCGUAGGGGAUAACGUAGGGAAGCUUACGCUAAUACCGCAUACGACCUACGGGUGAAAGCAGGGGAUCUUCGGACCUUGCGCGAUUGAAUGAGCCGAUGUCGGAUUAGCUAGUUGGCGGGGUAAAGGCCCACCAAGGCGACGAUCCGUAGCUGGUCUGAGAGGAUGAUCAGCCACACUGGAACUGAGACACGGUCCAGACUCCUACGGGAGGCAGCAGUGGGGAAUAUUGGACAAUGGGCGCAAGCCUGAUCCAGCCAUACCGCGUGGGUGAAGAAGGCCUUCGGGUUGUAAAGCCCUUUUGUUGGGAAAGAAAAGCAGCAGGUUAAUACCCCGCUGUUCUGACGGUACCCAAAGAAUAAGCACCGGCUAACUUCGUG